AUAUGCAAAAACAUUUUUGAUUUGUGUUGUUUAAGGUAAUUCAAAGUAGCAAUACAUUGGUGCCUGAAACGUCACAGAUGCAGUUACGUGAAGUAACCUGUGACUUGCAACAUGACCAGAAGAAAAUAAUCAUGGAGCUGCGAAAGUCAAUCGAAGACAAGCUAUCCGGUGAAAUCGAGGCGUUUGUUACAGACACAAUAGCAAGAGAAAAUCAUAUCGACAAUCUUAAUCAGAUUGCACUUAUCAAAUACAUCGCGAAAUGUGUAAGUAUUUGUUGGGCUAUGUGUCGACUGGAA